AGUUGAGCUUAUAAAAAAAAGAAUUUAUUUUUUUUUUUUUAUUUCUCUCUUUAGGGAAGAUGAAAAUUUAAUUUACAAUAAAAUUUAUUUUGUUUGUUUAUAUAAAUUUUUCACAUUCCCAGGGCGCUUGUUUCACGCUUUGCGUGUCAAUGCGCACCUAGAGCGUACACGCUGAUACCCGAAAGAUGGUGAACUAUGCCUGGCCAGGACGAAGCCAGGGGAAACCCUGGUGGAGGUCCGCAGCGAUUCUGACGUGCAAAUCGAUCGUCGGAGCUGGGUAUAGGGGCGAAAGACCAAUCGAACCAUCUAGUAGCUGGUUCCCUCUGAAGUUUCCCUCAGGAUAGCUUGCGCUCGUUUGAUAUGAGUCUCAUCCGGUAGAGCGAAUGAUUAGAGGCAUUGGGGUCGAAACGACCUCAACCUAUUCUCAAACUCCAAAUAGAUGAGACCCCCGGCUUU
rnacentral:rRNA from 1 species